rnacentral:tRNA from 1 species
UGGCUCAGUAGGUAGAGCAUGUGACUCCUGAUCGCAGGGUUGUGGGUUCAAGUCCCAA